rnacentral:rRNA from 1 species
AUACGGAGGGUGCAAGCGUUACUCGGAAUCACUGGGCGUAAAGCGCGCGCAGGCGGUCUUUUAAGUUGGAUGUGAAAGCCUACGGCUCAACCGUAGAACUGCAUCCAAAACUAUUUAGCUAGAGUGUGGGAGAGGAAGAUGGAAUUAGUUGUGUAGGGGUAAAAUCCGUAGAGAUAACUAGGAAUACCAAAAGCGAAGGCAAUCUUCUGGAACACUACUGACGCUGAGGCGCGAAAGCGUGGGGAGCAAACGGGAUUAGAUACCCCAGUAGUCC